UUAAGAAUCUUGCGCAAUGGGGGAAACCCUGACGCAGCGACGCCGCGUGGACGAUGAAGGCCUUCGGGUUGUAAAGUCCAAUAAGCGGGGAAGCAUAAGCAACGGGUAAUAUUCGUUGCGAUGACGGUACCUGCCUAAAGCACCGGCUAACUACGUGCCAGCAGCCGCGGUAAUACGUAUGGGGCUAGCGUUGUUCGGAAUUAUUGGGCGUAAAGGGCGUCUAGGCGGGGGAUUAAGUUAGGUGUGAAAUCCCUGGGCUCAACCCAGGAACUGCAUCUAAA
rnacentral:rRNA from 1 species